GACGAACGCUGGCGGCGUGCUUAACACAUGCAAGUCGAACGGCAAGGCCCUGCUUUUGUGGGGUGCUCGAGUGGCGAACGGGUGAGUAACACGUGAGUAACCUGCCCUUGACUUUGGGAUAACUUCAGGAAACUGGGGCUAAUACCGGAUAGGAGCUCCUGCUGCAUGGUGGGGGUUGGAAAGUUUCGGCGGUUGGGGAUGGACUCGCGGCUUAUCAGCUUGUUGGUGGGGUAGUGGCUUACCAAGGCUUUGACGGGUAGCCGGCCUGAGAGGGUGACCGGCCACAUUGGGACUGAGAUACGGCCCAGACUCCUACGGGAGGCAGCAGUGGGGAAUAUGGCACAAUGGGCGGAAGCCUGAUGCAGCAACGCCGCGUGCGGGAUGACGGCCUUCUGGUUGUAAACCGCUUUCGCCUGUGACGAAGCGUGAGUGACGGUAAUGGGUAAAGAAGCACCGGCUAACUACGUG
rnacentral:rRNA from 1 species